CAUCGGGAAACCAAGAGCAUACGGUGGAUGCCUAGACAUCAAAAGUCGAUGAAGGACGUAGCAGCCUGCGAUAAGCCUCGGUAAGGUGGCAAGCAACCUUUGACCCGGGGAUUUCCGAAUGGGGAAACCCGUUCUGAUGGAAGAUCAGAACAUCAUGCGCUGAAUACAUAGGCGUAUGAAGAGCACCCAGCGAAUUGAAACAUCUUAGUAGCUGGAGGAAGAGAAAAGAAGCGACCCUUUGCUAAAGUUGCGGCGAGCACUUGUCUCCGUAACUUUAGUGAAGGCUAUUCCCGUAGUAGUGGCGAACGAACCGGGAGGAGCCCAAACCAUUGUGAGCGUCACGCUUCGGCGUGACAGGGGUACAAGUCCUAUCCUUGCAGUGGGGUAGUGAGGUAUUACGUCUGGAGCUUGUCUCUCCAGGAUGGAGUUUACGCAAAGGAACUUCCCUAAAAGAAUCCGUUGGAAAGCGGAGCCAAAGAAGGUGACAGCCCUGUAAUUGAAAGGGGUUUCUGCUCUAUGGUGAUAUUCUCGAGUAGCGCGGGCCACGUGAAAUCCCGUGUGAAUCAGGGACGACUAUAGCAGUCUUGUCAUUCGGAGCAUUCAAAAUGGAUGUUCUGAAUGGCGAGACGUCCCAAGGCUAAAUACUUUUGAUGAUCGAUAGUGAACAAGUACCGUGAGGGAAAGGUGAAAAGAACCCCGGUGAGGGGAGUGAAAUAGUAUCUGAAACCGUAUGCUUACAAGGAGCCAGAGUCCGGCUUUGCCGGAUGAUGGCGUGCCUAUUGAAGAAUGAACCAACGAGUUAGCUGAAUACAGUCUGGUUAAGCCCGUUCAGGGCGCAGCCACAGUGAAAGCGAGCACGAAUAGUGCGUAUUGAGGUUUAGUUUUUCGUCAUUCCCUCGGGAGUGGCGAGGAACUAUUCUCUCAGGAUUGUAUUCACUAGACCCGAAGCCAGGUGAGCUAUCCAUGGCCAGGAUGAAGCGCAGGUAAAACUGCGUGGAGGUCCGAACUCACUCGCCGUGCAACACGAGGAGAUGAGCUGUGGAUAGAGGUGAAAUGCCAAUCGAACCUGGCAAUAGCUGGUUCUCCCCGAAAUAGCUUUAGGGCUAGCCCGGCAUACUGCCUGCUCCGAGGUAGAGCACUGAAUGGGUGCGGAUGGCUUUUGCCUACUGCAUCCAACCAAACUCCGAAUGCGGACGCAGGAAAUGCCGGAGUCAGACCGUGGGGUCUAAGCUUCACUGGUCUAAAGGGAAACAGCCCAGAUCACUGUCUAAGGUCCCUAAAUCUCGAUUAAGUGUAAAAGGUGGUGAAAUGACUACGACAACUAGGAGGUUGGCUUAGAAGCAGCCAUCCUUUAAAGAAAGCGUAACAGCUCACUAGUUAAGUUGUCUUGCGCCGAAAAUUUGCGGGGCUAAAUCGAGUACCGAAGACGUGGGCUUCAAGCUUUCGGGCUUGGAGCGGUAGGGGAGCGUUCUGUAUCUGCUGAAGUCGUUUCGCGAGGAACGGUGGAGGAUACAGAAGUGAGAAUGUUGGUAUAAGUAGCAAAAAUCCGGGUGAGAACCCCGGACACCGAAAAUUCAAGGGUUCCUGGGCAACGUAAAUCGACCCAGGGUUAGGCGGUCCUAAGCUCAAGCCGAAGGGCGUAGGCGAUGGACAGCUGGUUAAUAUUCCAGCCCUUCCCACUGAUUGUGUAUUUCUGACGUAUGCGAGGCGUCCGAGCGGAUUCUUGGUUAUGUCCGUCGCGGUGCGUUCGCAAGAGCGUACCGAGGAAGAGGAAGCUUCGGCUGAAUCGAUUCGGGCUUAUCGCGUGCCAAGAAAAGGAGAUACACGUUCGUCAGUGGGAAUCCGUACCGUAAACCGACACAGGUGAGUAGCCACACUGGAGUGGUAAGGUGUACGAGAGAACCUUCGUUUAGGAACUCGGCAAAACAGCGGCCGUAACUUCGGGAUAAGGCCCGCCUAUCUUACUUCGGUAAGAUAGGCCGCAGCGAAUGAUUCCAAGCGACUGUUUACCAAAAACACAGGUCCCUGCGAAACCGUAAGGUGAAGUAUAGGGGCUGAUGCCUGGCCAGUGUCCGAACGUUACGCUGAGGGGUGAGAGCUCCGAAGCUAAGCGCGGAUGAACGCCGGCGAUAACUAUAAUCGUCCUAAGGUUUUCCAAAUCAUAAAUAAUGGUUUGGAAAAGGACUGGGACGAUUAUAAGAGUGAAUGCCAAAAGCUGCCUCAUGUCAUAGUAAUAUGACAAUGGUCCAAAAAUACUUGGCUAUAUCGGUGGAACUCCGAUCGAAUGAUCGGACAAUACCGAGGGAAGUCUCCCGCGAAGCGGGAUGACCCCCUAGAGACUAGAACGCCAAGCUCCGUAGAAAUACGGAUGAAGAUACAGUCCAAUCUCACUGGUAACAGUGAGGAAAAAUGAGCGAAAUUCCUUGUCGGGUAAGUUCCGACCUGCACGAAUGGCAUAACGAUUUGGAAACUGUCUCAACGAGGGACUCGGCGAAAUUGCAAAGCCGGUAAAGAUGCCGGCUACCCACGGCUAGACGAAAAGACCCCGUGAAGCUUUACUACAACUUGAUAUUGGUCUGACGCUGCUCGCGUUUGAGCAUAGGUGGGAGACUGUGAUCUCCGGACGCCAGUCCGGAGGGAGUCGCCAGUGAGAUACCACCCUUGGGUUGUGUCAGGUCUCACCGUUCGCCUUAACAGAGGCAGCGGGUCAGUGUCUGGUGGGUAGUUUGACUGGGGCGGUCGCCUCCCAAAAAGUAACGGAGGCGUUUACAAAGGUUGGCUAAAUCCCGAUGGAAACGGGAUGCGUCGUGCAAAGGCACAAGCCAGCUUUACUGCAAGGGCUGCAACCCGAGCAGUUGCGAAAGCAGAACUUAGUGAUCCGACCGUACGUAAUAGGACGGCGGAAGCUCAACGGAUAAAAGUUACUCCGGGGAUAACAGGCUUAUCACGCCCAAGCGUCCACAGCGACGGCGUGGUUUGGCACCUCGAUGUCGGCUCAUCGCAUCCUGGGGGUGGAGAAGCUCCCAAGGGUUUGGCUGUUCGCCAAUUAAAGCGGUACGCGAGCUGGGUUCAGAACGUCGUGAGACAGUUCGGUCUCCUAUCUGCCGUGGGCGUUGGAUGUUUGAAUGAGGGCUCUUCUCUAGUACGAGAGGACCGAGAAGAACGAACCUCUAGUGAACGAGCUGUCUGACCACAGGCAUAAGCUCGGUAGCUACGUUCGGCCAGGAUAAACGCUGAAAGCAUCUAAGCGUGAAACCUUCCUCGAGAUAAGACAUCUUCGAUCCCAGAGAGAUUAUCUGGUUAAUAGGCUCUAGGUGUAAGGCCAGUAAUGGCUUCAGCCGAGGAGUACUAAUGAUCAUCUCUCGAUGUA
rnacentral:rRNA from 1 species